rnacentral:rRNA from 1 species
UACGGGGGGGAGCAAGCGUUGUUCGGAUUUACUGGGCGUAAAGGGCGCGUAGGCGGUCAGCACAAGUCAGUUGUGAAAUCUCCGAGCUUAACUCGGAAAGGUCAACUGAUACUGUGCGACUAGAGUGCGGAAGGGGCAACUGGAAUUCUUGGUGUAGCGGUGAAAUGCGCAGAUAUCGGGAGGAACACCUAUGGCGAAGGCAGCUCGCUGGGACGUUACUGACGCUGAGACGCGAAAGCGUGGGGAGCAAACAGG